AUGAGCGACCGUGCCCUGCCUCCUGAAAUCUUUUUCGAAAUGUAUACAAAUAUUUGGAAUACUAAUAUUGGUGGAGAAGUUACCACCCACCAGACCUCCUUGGAGCUCUUGGUGUACCUGAACGAAGUCACCGGCAAGCACGGCGUGGGCUGAAUUGACAUUGUGGAAAACCGCUUCAUCGGAAUGAAGCCCCGAGGUAUCUGCGAGACCCCAGCAAGGCACCAUCAUUUACCACGCUCAUUUAGACAUCCAGGCUUUCACCCUGGACCGGAUGGACCGGGAAAUGCACAAAAUCAAGCAAGGCCCGGGCUUGAAAUUUGCUGAGCUGGCCUAUACCGGUUUCUGACAGCCCUGAGUGUGAAUUCGUCUGCCACUGCAUCGCCAAGUCCCAGGAGCGAGUGGAAGGGAAAGUGCAGGUGUCCGUCUUGAAGGGCCAGGUGUACAUCCUCGGCCGGGAGUCCCCACUGUCUCUCUACAGCGAGGAGCUGGUGAGCAUGAACGUUCAGGGUGACUAUGAGCCAAUUGAUGCCACCAGCUUCAUCAACAUCAAUUCCCUCAGGCUGAAGGAAUAUCAUCGUCUCCAGAGCAAGGUCACUGCCAAAUGGACCCCUGUACAAUGAGGAGUCGGGGCUGCCUCGAUUUGCAGAUCCCCCCAGUACAGGCGCUAAUUGUUGUGAUAAUUUGUAAUUGUUACUUGUUCUCCCCGGCUGGCAGGCUAGUGGGGCAGCCAGGCCCCAGCUUUGUUCCCUGGUCCCCCUGAAGCCUGCAAACCUUGUCGUCAAAGGGAAGGGUGGGGGGCAGCUGCAGUGGGAAGCUAUAAAAUGACAAUUAAAAGAUA